UACGGAGGGGGCGAGCGUUAUUCGGAAUUAUUGGGCGUAAAGGGCGCGUAGGCGGCUGUACAAGUCAAAGGUGAAAUCCCUCGGCUCAACUGAGGAACUGCCUUUGAAACUGUACGGCUUGAGGCCGGGAGGGGGUAGCGGAAUUCCCAGUGUAGCGGUGAAAUGCGCAGAUAUCAGGAGGAACACCGAUGGCGAAGGCAGCUCGCUGGGACGGUACUGACGCUGAGGCGCGAAAGCGUGGGGAGCAAACAGG
rnacentral:rRNA from 1 species